GGGUUGUGAGGUUAAGCGACCAAGCGUACACGGUGGAUGCCCUGGCAGUCAGAGGCGAUGAAGGACGUGCUAAUCUGCGAAAAGCGCCGGUAAGGUGAUAUGAACCGUUAUAACCGGCGAUGUCCGAAUGGGGAAACCCAGUGUGACUCGUCACACUAUCAUUAACUGAAUCCAUAGGUUAAUGAGGCGAACCGGGGGAACUGAAACAUCUAAGUACCCCGAGGAAAAGAAAUCAACCGAGAUUCCCCCAGUAGCGGCGAGCGAACGGGGAGCAGCCCAGAGCCUGAAUCAGCAUGUGUGUUAGUGGAAGCGUCUGGAAAGGCGCGCGAUACAGGGUGACAGCCCCGUACACAAAAGCGCAUAUGCUGUGAGCUCGAUGAGUAGGGCGGGACACGUGGUAUCCUGUCUGAAUAUGGGGGGACCAUCCUCCAAGGCUAAAUACUCCUGACUGACCGAUAGUGAACCAGUACCGUGAGGGAAAGGCGAAAAGAACCCCGGCGAGGGGAGUGAAAAAGAACCUGAAACCGUGUACGUACAAGCAGUGGGAGCACAGGUUUACCUGUGUGACUGCGUACCUUUUGUAUAAUGGGUCAGCGACUUAUAUUCUGUAGCAAGGUUAACCGUAUAGGGGAGCCGCAGGGAAACCGAGUCUUAAC
rnacentral:rRNA from 1 species